rnacentral:rRNA from 1 species
UACGUAGGGGGCAAGCGUUGUCCGGAUUUAUUGGGCGUAAAGCGCGUGUAGGUGGCCAAGUAGGUCCGCUGUGAAAACUUGAGGCUACAACCCGUCAAGCUGUCGGUGGAAACCCCUUGGCUAGAGUCCGGAAGAGGAGAGUGGAAAUUCCGUGGUGUAGCGGUUGAAAUGCGCAGGAUAUCAGGAAGAACACCCGUGGCUAAGGCGGCUCUCUAGUACGGUACUGACGCUGAGACGCGAAAGCGUGGGGAGCGAACAGG